rnacentral:rRNA from 1 species
GAUUAACGCUGGCGGCGUGCAUAACACAUGCAAGUCGAACGAUGAAACUUAAAUGACUUCUUCGGAAUGAUUUUAAUUGGAUUAGUGGCGAACGGGUGAGUAACGCGUGAGUAACCUGCCUUACACAAGGGGAUAGCCUCUGGAAACGGAGAAUAAUACCCUAUGAAACUAUCUUAUCGCAUGAAAAGAUAGUCAAAGUGUUUUAGCGGUGUAAGAUGGACUUGCGUCUGAUUAGCUAGUUGGUGAGAUAACAGCCCACCAAGGCAACGAUCAGUAGCCGGCUUGAGAGAGUGUACGGCCACAUUGGGACUGAGACACGGCCCAGACUCCUACGGGAGGCAGCAGUGGGGAAUUUUGCACAAUGGGGGCAACCCUGAUGCAGCGACGCCGCGUGAUUUAGAAGGCCUUCGGGUUGUAAAAAUCUUUUGUAUAGGAAGAAAAUGACAGUACUAUACGAAUAAGGUCCGGCUAAUUACGUG